rnacentral:rRNA from 1 species
CCCUACGGGGGGCAGCAGUGGGGGAUAUUGCACAAUGGGGGAAACCCUGAUGCAGCGACGCCGCGGGAGCGAUGAAGUAUUUCGGUAUGUAAAGCUCUAUCAGCAGGGAAGAAAAUGACGGUACCUGACUAAGAAGCCCCGUCUAACUACGUGCCAGCAGCCGCGGUAAUACGUAGGGGGCAAGCGUUAUCCGGAUUUACUGGGUGUAAAGGGAGCGUAGACGGCAGUGCAAGUCUGAAGUGAAAGGCAAGGGCUCAACCCUGAGACUGCUGUGGCACCUGCGCUGCUCGAGUGUCGGAGAGGCA